rnacentral:lncRNA from 1 species
ACUUGUGAUGGCUUCUUUGCCUUAUAGCAUGACUAUGAUGUAAUGAAGCUGAUUUGAUAACAACAGCCCACAGUUCUUGCUUACCCUAAGGAAGAAGCCCUGGUUUCAGGAUACAACCAAAGCUCCAGGAGGCACCAGUUUCUCAGCAUCUGCCUUUUUGCUUGCUUGUUGGUGAAGCAUUAGGAAAAAGCAGCAAAGAUUCUUUGCAGGAUGUCCUAGGGAAAGAAGGUGCUGGAUCUUCUGUCUCCCAAUAACUUAUUAGGCCAGAGCCAGUGACACAAGCAGCUAUUCUUGCUCCCAAUAUGAGGAGGCAAAGAACCUAGUAAGUUCCAUCUGAUCUGAGAUCGUGUCUGAUGUAAGCCCAAGGUGUAAGAGGAGACAGGGCUAUAAGUGAGUGCAAAAAGGUCCUCAGGUGCACCUGAUCUCCCCAGUAACCUGGCCAAGCUCCAGGAAAAGUUAAAUGGCAAGAAUUAUUGGGAAGAAAAUCAAUUUCAGACAGGCAGGCCUCAUGAAAUUUGCAAUAUCAUGAACUGGCUACAGAGGAAGAAGUGAAGAUGUGAGUCAGCCUGGAGUUCAUCCCACUUCAACUUCAAUUAUCUUUGGGACGUGGACAACAGCCUCGGCAGCUAAGAGAAGAAAGUGCAGGGGUGGAAUAAGAAACUUGAUCAAAGCAGUUAAAAUCCAUGAUACUUCUGGGGUGAAUGACAGAGGAAACUGACCAGAGGCAGACAAAGGUCUUGUUGAGUAGUUUAAAUGGCCCAUCUGAAGCCAAAG